CGCUAUGGUGAAAUCGGUAGACACGCU
rnacentral:tRNA from 1 species